UAAGAAUAAAAAAAACUUUGGAUCGAGGAGCAUUCGUUCUAGGAUGAGUGACUUCCCUGUUGAUCUCAGCUUGUAAUAAAGAGAAAGUUUGUUCUGAAGGUUGCAGCAAAGAUCGAUGAAUGACUUUACUACUGAUAUUUUCACCCACUCUCUGUACUUUGAACAAAUUGCUUGGCUGCUCACAGAUGGGAUCUGCUAGUUUGAACCUAAAUGUUGGACUGAGCUAAUUAGUAAUGGCAACUUGGCAGCCAAGGGAAGAAUCUACCAGAGGAGACCCAACAGUCAAUUUGUUAACCAUGCUUGCCAAUACUGAAAUCUCUCAAUUCAUGCACCCCUUGGUCAAUGCCAACCUGAAUAUAUUCACCGAUGAAUUUGAAAAGUAGGCUUGUGUUAUAAUAUUUCUGAUACUUUUCCAAAUUGUGCAAAUUGGGAAAUAAAAACAUUAGAAGUAAUUCAACCAAUGUUUACUGUUGAUGUGCAAGAUACUCUAUUUGAUUCUUGAGAAUAUAAAAGAAAUAAUUAGAAACUGCUUUUGGUAAGUGCAGUAAAUUUGGGAGAAAUUAGUCUCUUGCAUUUUCAGUUACUACUGUUUCCCAUAUUACAAUAAUGACUAUAUUUCAAAAAAUAUUUCAUUAGCUGUAAAGCACUGAGAUGUCCUGAAAGAAAUGUGAAAGCACAAUAUAAAUGUAAGUUUAUAUGCUUCUUUUACACCUGUUGUAUGAUGGAUAUUAAUUGCCAUAAUUAUUCAACAAUUCUAUGUAUCACUUCACCGUAGGAAGGGGCAAGGUUGAAAUAACAUGAUAGGGUCUUUCUUCAUUUUAGAACUUCUAUGUUGCCUAGUUUAUAACCUCAAUUUGAUUUAGUGAUUUGAAUUCUUUACUGAAUAAAAGUGUUCUUAAUCAUGGAAAAAAAACAAAGAUUCUUUAUUUAAUUGUGACAUAAUUGAUUUUUGUUCAUAAAUCCUUAGCUUUGUUAUGAUUUCGAAGCUAGAUAUGCUAAACCCCUGGCGGAUGCUAUGAAAUAAGUGUCAUUGUAUAGAUCACAGCAAAGUAGGUUCCAGUCUCAGCUCGGCUCUCAAAGGCUGUUAGUCAUGUGUAAACAGGAAAAUAAUGGACUGGUUCACUUGGAUAUUUCAACACAUUUCAUAGUGAUUGGUUAGAUGGCGAUGUUCUCUGUUAAUGAUCAAAUGACAAUAGGGACGUUCCUGCUGGGUUUAGUGUCCCUUUGUUAAGGAAGGUAAAAUUGAUAUUAAUGUAGAGACUGACUGUUAGCAUUUUCAGGAUGUUAUCAAAGUCCAAGGCAAAGAAUCAAUAUCAUUAGAAGAGAACAGAAGGACAGCAAAUUGAUAAGAAUGUUUUUUUUAAAAGCUGUACAAUCAGAACAAAAUAAAUGUAUAUGCUGUUGUAAUUAACUUCUCACUGGUAAAAUAUAUUAUUUUGAAAUUGUUAAUUUUGUGUCUACAUUCAAAUAUCUACUGAAAUAGUUAAAUUGUCACAAUCCAUCCAGAUAUCAA